UUUGGGGAUAUCUCAGUUGGUUAGAGCAGGAGACUCUUAAUCUCAAGGUCAUGGCUUCAAGCCCCACAUUGGGCAAAA